AGCGAACGCUGGCGGCAGGCCUAACACAUGCAAGUCGAACGAACCUUUCGGGGUUAGUGGCGGACGGGUGAGUAACACGUGGGAACGUGCCUUUAGGUUCGGAAUAACUCAGGGAAACUUGUGCUAAUACCGAAUGUGCCCUUCGGGGGAAAGAUUUAUCGCCUUUAGAGCGGCCCGCGUCUGAUUAGCUAGUUGGUUGAGGUAAUGGCUCACCAAGGCGACGAUCGGUAGCUGGUCUGAGAGGAUGAUCAGCCACAUUGGGACUGAGACACGGCCCAAACUCCUACGGGAGGCAGCAGUGGGGAAUCUUGCGCAAUGGGCGAAAGCCUGACGCAGCCAUGCCGCGUGAAUGAUGAAGGUCUUAGGAUUGUAAAAUUCUUUCACCGGGGACGAUAAUGACGGUACCCGGAGAAGAAGCCCCGGCUAACUUCGUG
rnacentral:rRNA from 1 species